rnacentral:rRNA from 1 species
CCCUUAGAUGUUCGGGGCCGCACGCGCGCUACACUGAAGGAAUCAGCACGUCUUUCUCCUUGUCCGAAAGGACUGGGUAACCCGCUGAACCUCCUUCGUGCUAGGGAUUGGGGCUUGUAAUUCUUCCCCAUGAACGAGGAAUUCCCAGUAAGCGCGAGUCAUAAGCUCGCGUUGAUUACGUCCCUGCCCUUUGUACACACCGCCCGUCGCUACUACCGAUUGGUUGGUUUAGUGAGAUCCUCGGAUUGGUCCCGGCGCGGCCUCUGGUCGUGCCGGAGUGCCGAAAAGAAUGUCGAACUUGAUCAUCUAGAGGAAGUAAAAGUCGUAACA